AGAACGUCGUGAGACAGUUCGGUCCCUAUCUGCCGUGGGCGUAGGAUAUUUGAGGAGAUCUGUUCUUAGUACGAGAGGACCGGAAUGGACGAACCUCUAGUGUACCAGUUGUCUCGCCAGAGGCAUCGCUGGGUAGCUAUGUUCGGAAGGGAUAAGCGCUGAAAGCAUCUAAGUGCGAAGCCCACUCCAAGAUAAGAUAUCCCGUGGGUUUACCCACCUAAAGGCUCCUUGUAGACUACAAGGUCGAUAGGUCGCAGGUGUAAGCGCAGCAAUGCGUUCAGCCGAGCGAUACUAAUAAGCCGUGAGGCUUGAUC
rnacentral:rRNA from 1 species